rnacentral:rRNA from 1 species
AUACGGAGGAUCCGAGCGUUAUCCGGAUUUAUUGGGCUUAAAGGGUGCGCAGGCGGCCAUUUAAGUCAGCGGUUAAAUCGUGGGGCUCAACCCCAUUCUGCCGUUGAUACUGGGUGGCUUGAUUGCGGUCGAGGUUGGCGGAAUUCGUUGUGUAGCGGGGAAAUGCAUAGAUAUGACGAAGAACACCGAUUGCGUAGGCAGCUGACCAGACCGCAAAUGACGCUCAUGCACGAAAGUGCGGGGAUCGAACAGGAUUAGAUACCCUGGUAGUCCGCACAGUAAACGAUGAAUACUUGUUUUCGGCGAUAUAAUGUCGGAGGCAAAGCGAAAGCGAUAAGUAUUCCACCUGGGGAGUACGCCGGCAACGGUGAAACUUAAAGGAAUUGACGGGG